rnacentral:rRNA from 1 species
UUGAUCCUGGCUCAGGACGAACGCUGGCGGCACGCUUAACACAUGCAAGUCGAACGAGAGAAGAGAAGCUUGCUUUUCUGAUCUAGUGGCGGACGGGUGAGUAACACGUGAGCAAUCUGCCUUUCAGAGGGGGAUACCGAUUGGAAACGAUCGUUAAUACCGCAUAACAUAAUUGAACCGCAUGAUUUGAUUAUCAAAGAUUUAUCGCUGAAAGAUGAGCUCGCGUCUGAUUAGCUAGUUGGUAAGGUAACGGCUUACCAAGGCGACGAUCAGUAGCCGGACUGAGAGGUUGAUCGGCCACAUUGGGACUGAGACACGGCCCAGACUCCUACGGGAGGCAGCAGUGGGGAAUAUUGCACAAUGGAGGAAACUCUGAUGCAGCGAUGCCGCGUGAGGGAAGAAGGUUUUAGGAUUGUAAACCUCUGUCUUCAGGGACGAAAAAAGACGGUACCUGAGGAGGAAGCUCCGGCUAACUACGUGCCAGCAGCCGCGGUAAUACGUAGGGAGCGAGCGUUGUCCGGAAUUACUGGGUGUAAAGGGAGCGUAGGCGGGAUCGCAAGUCAGAUGUGAAAACUAUGGGCUUAACCCAUAAACUGCAUUUGAAACUGUGGUUCUUGAGUGAAGUAGAGGUAAGCGGAAUUCCUAGUGUAGCGGUGAAAUGCGUAGAUAUUAGGAGGAACAUCAGUGGCGAAGGCGGCUUACUGGGCUUUAACUGACGCUGAGGCUCGAAAGCGUGGGGAGCAAACAGGAUUAGAUACCCUGGUAGUCCACGCCGUAAACGAUGAUUACUAGGUGUGGGGGGACUGACCCCUUCCGUGCCGCAGCAAACGCAAUAAGUAAUCCACCUGGGGAGUACGACCGCAAGGUUGAAACUCAAAGGAAUUGACGGGGGCCCGCACAAGCAGUGGAGUAUGUGGAUUAAUUCGAAGCAACGCGAAGAACCUUACCAGGUCUUGACAUCGUAUGCAUAGCUCAGAGAUGAGUGAAAUCUCUUCGGAGACAUAUAGACAGGUGGUGCAUGGUUGUCGUCAGCUCGUGUCGUGAGAUGUUGGGUUAAGUCCCGCAACGAGCGCAACCCUUACUGUUAGUUGCUACGCAAGAGCACUCUAGCAGGACUGCCGUUGACAAAACGGAGGAAGGUGGGGAUGACGUCAAAUCAUCAUGCCCUUUAUGACCUGGGCCUCACACGUACUACAAUGGCUGUCAACAGAGGGAAGCAAAGCCGCGAGGUGGAGCAAACCCCUAAAAGCAGUCUUAGUUCGGAUUGUAGGCUGCAACCUGCCUACAUGAAGUCGGAAUUGCUAGUAAUCGCAGAUCAGCAUGCUGCGGUGAAUACGUUCCCGGGCCU